CCUACGGGAGGCAGCAGUGGGGAAUAUUGGGCAAUGGGCGCAAGCCUGACCCAGCAACGCCGCGUGCAGGAAGAAGGCUUUCGGGUUGUAAAAUUCUUUUAAGAGGGAAGAGCAGAAGAAGGUACCUCUUGAUUAAGCCACGGCUAACUACGUGCCAGCAGCCGCGGUAAUACGUAGGUGGCAAGCGUUGUCCGGAUGUACUGGGUGUAAAGGGCGUGUAGCCGGGCUGACAAGUCAGAUGUGAAAUUCCGGGGCUCAACCCCGGACCUGCAUUUGAAACUGUUUGUCUUGAGUAUCGGAGAGGCAGGCGGAAUUCCUGGUGUAGCGGUGAAAUGCGUAGAGAUUAGGAGGAACACCAGUGGCGAAGGCGGCCUGCUGGACGACAACUGACGGUGAGGCGCGAAAGCGUGGGGAGCAAACAGGAUUAGAUACCCUUGUAGUC
rnacentral:rRNA from 1 species